rnacentral:lncRNA from 1 species
CUCGGAGAGAAGAGGGAGAUGGGGGAAGAGGGAUAAAUGGAGAGAUGGAGGGGCCAAGGGAAGAGACCAUUCCCUCUGAUUAGAAGGAAGGAAGGCCCAGGAAAUUCUCAUCUGGAGACUUCUGACCCCCUCCGCCCACCGCAGCUUGCAAAAACCCCCUGCUUCCCAGGCUGGGAGAUACCUCUGAGAAGUCCUCCAGGACCACCCUUCAUCAGAAGUCUUGGCUUGGCUCCACCUACUCCCCCAUUUGGUUGGCAGGAUAUUCUGGAAAGGGUGGUGAAUAGGCAUUGCCCACCACCUGGGCAAGUUGAUCAAAUCUUUCUGGGUUUCAGUUUCCUCAUUUGUGCAACCAGGGAACAGGCCUGAGCUCCAGCCCCCAGGUAGCCUUCUUCCCAGCCUCGGUGAAGACUGCUGCUGUUCCAGAGGUCCUAGAGGGGACUUAUGGUGAGCCAAGCUCAGUCCAGUUCUGCAGUAACAAGGGGCUAGUUUGGG